CCUACGGGGGGCACCAGUGGGGAAUAUUGCACAAUGGGCGCAAGCCUGAUGCAGCCAUGCCGCGUGUAUGAAGAAGGCCUUCGGGUUGUAAAGUACUUUCAGCGGGGAGGAGGGUGUUGAGGUUAAUAACCUCAGCAAUUGACGUUACCCGCAGAAUGAAGCACCGGCUAACUCCGUGCCAGCAGCCGCGGUAAUACGGAGGGUGCAAGCGUUAAUCGGAAUUACUGGGCGUAAAGCGCUCGCAGGCGGUCUGUCAAGUCGGAUGUGAAAUCCCCGGGCUCAACCUGGGAACUGCAUUCGAAACUGGCAGGCUAGAGUCCUGUAGAGGGGGGUAGAAUUCCAGGUGUAGCGGUGAAAUGCGUAGAGAUCUGGAGGAAUACCGGUGGCGAAGGCGGCCCCCUGGACAAAGACUGACGCUCAGGUGCGAAAGCGUGGGGAGCAAACAGGAUUAGAUUCCCUCGUAGUC
rnacentral:rRNA from 1 species